UAUUUUAUCGAAAGGAGACUUUUACGCAAGCGUUUCCUGGCUUCGACGCGGAAGUUGUCACGUGUAGCAUGAGUUGGCAUACAUACCGGAAGUAGAUUAAUGUGAAGCGCGAGCAGGGUGCAGCAGAAGUUUUGACACAUUCCUGCAGGCAUUUAGACUCACAGGUAGCCAUCAUGAGUCUUCAGUGGACGGCCGUGGCUACGUUUCUGUAUGCCGAGGUGUUUGCGAUACUACUGCUAUGUAUCCCUUUCAUCUCCCCAAAACGAUGGAGCAAAAUUUUCAAGUCUAGACUGGCCACUGUCAUCACAACGUAUGGAAACACUGCCUUCAUUGUCAUCAUUUGUAUUCUUGUCUUUCUGCUCAUAGGUGAGCUUGAAAACACCUCACUGCAUU